UACGAGAGGCCCAAACGUUAUUCGGAAUUACUGGGCUUAAAGAGUUCGUAGGCGGCGCGGAAAGUAGGGUGUGAAAGCCCUCGGCUCAACCGAGGAAUUGCGCUCUAAACUACCGUGCUUGAGGAAGCUAGAGGUGAGCGGAACUGAUGGUGGAGCGGUGAAAUGCGUAGAUAUCAUCAGGAACACCGGAGGCGAAGGCGGCUCACUGGGGCUUUUCUGACGCUGAGGAACGAAAGCCAGGGGAGCGAACGGG
rnacentral:rRNA from 1 species